GAUGGGUGGUGCUCACACACACACACACAGAUUAUAAGUUACAACACGCAAUUAUUACAACACAAACCUGUUUAACCUGUUUCCACACACAGGUAAAGGACACUGAAGCUGACAGGAAAAACGGAUUUGUCUAGAAGGUCAGCAGAAGGAAAAGCUGCAGUAAUGGCAGAACAGGCAACACACACUGGUGGAACUGAGCAGGAGGGAGAAACUCUCAGUGCUGAAGACUACCUAAAUCUUCUGAAGAUAUUGAAGAUUAACCUCCCCAAAGGAGUUCUGAAAGAAGAGGUAGUGACUAAAUCCACACACCCAACUGUCAUCGAAGACGCAAGACAUAUCAAACAAGAUCUGGAAAAGUGCACAAUCCAAUUCGCUCAGACUCCUCGUCUGGCUUGUGGGGAUAUUGAACAGGCACUGAAACUAAGAGAGAAUAAUAAAUAUGAUGAAAUUACAAAUAUGAUGUUUUUUAGAAACUUUAAAGACUCAAAUAAGAAGACCCCAACAAAAGAAUGGAAAAAAAAACUUACGGCUGGUUGUGGAUUCCAGCUAAAGAAGACAUAUCAGGAGACCUCAUCACAUCCCAGAGAAAGCACUGGUUUGAAAUGGUAUGGGAACCAUCGUGAAAACAAAAUAAACGCAGAGGACUGCUUAAGUUUCUACCUGGAACAAAAGGGGCUCACUCCAGCUGAUAUAAAUACAAAGAGAAAUACAAAGCUGGAAUUUGGAUUUCUCUCUGGGAAGCCGAACUUUCUAGUAGAUAUAAAAAUCUCCCCUACUGAGAAACUCAUCAUUAAAUGUAAUAGUGCAAGUGGUAACAUAGAAGACAUAUGCACUACGCCCAACGAAGGUUCUCAGGCUCAAUUCAAAACUUCCCAUCAGUUCUAUCUUCAAGCUCAGGCCUACCUGUUCAUCCUGAAUGAAAAAGAGAAGAUGGAAGACAAUCCGGUUCCAGUCAGAGCUGUGAUUGUUCUGAAAGUCAAACCCACAGAAAAAAUAUACUGGAGCGAGGUGAACGAAGAUACGGAGAACAUCAAGCAACUGAACGACUUCUGCAUUAAUGAAGCAUUGCCUCGAUUCCUGGCUGUUCUUAAUCUCAUCUUUGAGAAGGAAAACUACAACUUAUGUGUUCGUGAUUAGAUACUGUGUUUGAUAUUGCCUAAUGGUUUGCAUAUGGAUUUCUUUUCCUUUUCACUCAUUUAAGUGUUUUUUUUUUGCAAGUACGUUGUGUGGUUAUUAGAUAAAUAAUUAGAUGAUUAGAUGAAUAAUUAGAUGAUUAGAUGAAUAAUUAGGAUGAAUAAUGAUAGGUUCUCUGUACAUUUAGGAAUAAGGCUCAGCAGAACAUCUCCAUGAUCUUUUCCUUUCGUAUUGGUUUUAUUAUUAAAUGAUGCAUUGAUGAGAUUAAACCGCGGGGAGGGACAGACACCGAGUCUCUGACUGUGAGCAGGUUGAUGUUGGAAGCUCAGAGGGGUUUAAUUGAACAGAUGGAGAAUGAGUGUUUAUAAAAUGCUAUGUUUAUGAUUUUAUGGUGUAAAAAGUCAGACAUCUUGUGGAGAAUCUACAGAGCUUCAAUAAAACACCACUUUCUCUAA
ensembl:lncRNA